rnacentral:tRNA from 1 species
AAAGGGAGACCUAAUUCCGGUAGGAGACGAAAAAAAAGUAGUCCCAACCAAGAAUCAAUCCCAAAAGGUCGGAGCGAGGCAAAAUUGGCUUUCAAACUAGGUUCUGGGUUCACACAAGACCUGAAUCAGGAACAAGGGCUAUUAGCUCAGGUGGUUAGAGCGCACCCCUGAUAAGGGUGAGGUCCCUGGUUCGAGUCCAGGAUGGCCCACCUGCACAGGUGGCAAAAACAAAGAAAAAAAGCUCCGAAUCAGCACCUUAUCUUACUUAUACAGUAAGAGAGAAUGCUGGCUCUGAGUUCAGAGUCCAGAGGAACCUUGAAAACUGCAUAGAGCUAGGUGAAAAAGCCAAAAAAGAAGACCGCAAG